UACGGGGGGGCAAGCGUUGUUCGGAAUUACUGGGCGUAAAGGGCUCGUAGGCGGCCGACUAAGUCAGACGUGAAAUCCCUCGGCUUAACCGGGGAACUGCGUCUGAUACUGGACGGCUUGAGUUUGGGAGAGGGAUGCGGAAUUCCAGGUGUAGCGGUGAAAUGCGUAGAUAUCUGGAGGAACACCGGUGGCGAAGGCGGCAUCCUGGACCAACACUGACGCUGAGUGAGCGAAAGCCAGGGGAGCAAACGGG
rnacentral:rRNA from 1 species